rnacentral:miRNA from 1 species
GGACAUGUGUGCAUAGGGAAGA